rnacentral:rRNA from 1 species
GACGAACGCUGGCGGCGUGCCUAAUACAUGCAAGUAGAACGCUGAAGAGAGGAGCUUGCUCUUCUUGGAUGAGUUGCGAACGGGUGAGUAACGCGUAGGUAACCUGCCUUGUAGCGGGGGAUAACUAUUGGAAACGAUAGCUAAUACCGCAUAACAAUGGAUGACACAUGUCAUUUAUUUGAAAGGGGCAAUUGUUCCACUACAAGAUGGACCUGCGUUGUAUUAGCUAGUAGGUGAGGUAAUGGCUCACCUAGGCGACGAUACAUAGCCGACCUGAGAGGGUGAUCGGCCACACUGGGACUGAGACACGGCCCAGACUCCUCCGGGAGGCAGCAGUAGGGAAUCUUCGGCAAUGGGGGCAACCCUGACCGAGCAGCGCCGCGUGAGUGAAGAAGGUUUUCGGAUCGUAAAGCUCUGUUGUAAGUCAAGAACGGGUGUGAGAGUGGAAAGUUCACACUGUGACGGUAGCUUACCAGAAAGAGACGGCUAACUACGUG